rnacentral:sRNA from 1 species
CACUUUAGGGGGACUGCCGGUGACAAGCCGGAGGAAGGUGGGGAUGACGUCAAGUCCUCAUGGCCUUUAUGACCAGGGCUACACACGUGUUACAAUGGGAGUCACAGAGGGAUGCUAAGCCGUGAGGCCAUGCCAAUCCCAGAAAAGCUCUCUCAGUUCGGAUCGCAGUCUGCAACUCGACUGCGUGAAGCUGGAAUCGCUAGUAAUCGCGGAUCAGCACGCCGCGGUGAAUACGUUCCCGGGCCUUGUACACACCGCCCGUCACACCAUGGGAGCCGACAAGGGCAGAAGUCGCCGAGCUAACCUUCGGGAGGCAGGCGCCCAAGCUCUGGUUGACGACUGGGGUGAAGUCGUAACAAGGUAGCCGUAGGAGAACCUGCGGCUGGAUCACCUCCUUUCUAAGGACGCCGGACAGCAGUUAUGCUGCCGGAUAAGCCUAAGUCGAAACAGACUCUCUUCUCUUCUUUCCCUUAGCUCCUGUAUACUACAUUUUUAAACAAAUACUCGGGUGUUUUUGUGCAGAUGGCUAUUGUUUUUGUGUCAAUAUUUCAAGUAGGGCCUGUAGCUCAGCUUGGUUAGAGCGCAUCCCUGAUAAGGAUGAGGCCGGUGGUUCAAGUCCACCCAGGCCCACCAACGGAACUUUAGAGUCAGGGGGGAUUAGCUCAGCUGGUAGAGCGCCUGCUUUGCAAGCAGGAGGUCAGCGGUUCGACCCCGCUAUCCUCCACC